AUUUAAAUAGCUUACAUUUAGAGCAUGACACUGAAGAUGUUAGAGUGAUUAUUUUAAUCUUUAAAUA
rnacentral:tRNA from 5 species